CCCGCUUCCAGAAAAGUUGGCCAUGAAAACAGCAGAGCAUCGUCUAACAUAGCACUGGAAGAGAAACAGCUGGAUUCAGACUAAACUGGCUGAUGCUGCGGGCGUUUUCUGUGCAAGGAGGAGGAUUAUGGCAGAAUAGACUUCAGUCUUCAGGCCCGGAGCAGAAAUGGGAGAGUUCCUGCUCUACGGUGCCUGCUCAACCACCAGUGACCAGAUAGGGGUCUCUGGGCAUUAGACAAGAAACAAGAGCUGGAAGAGAGAGAAGAGCCUGGAGCCUGGGGCUGACCCGAAGAGGCAGGGCAGCCCCAGGGCGGCCUGCACUGCAGCUCCCGACCUGCUUCCCUUCACGGCUCUCUUGGGGGAUCUUUUGGGAACAGAGUGGGGUGGCACUGUCCUCAUAAGACUGAUGUUUGUUUUUCUGGCCUUUCCCUUUCUACUUCUCCUGAUCUGCCCCAUCCCCACGCCUGCCACAUACUGCCUUAGAACCAGCUUCCUCCCUGAGAGAGAAUCUCGCGGUUCAGACCAGGUGCAGAGGGAAUGAGUUACCCAUACAGUCGCGCUGGGAGUGGCAGGGCCCCUUUCCGACUGAUCUCCAGGGAAGGCUGUGGCUCAGCUUGAGAAGGCCCUGCCUCUACCCCUAUAUUUAGCAGGGCCCUGGAACUCGCUCUCAGAGUCAAAUGGGGUAGAGAUUGAGAGGGCCGACAGUGAGCUCUGAUGCCUCAGUGCUGCAGCUGGAGGGGAUCCAGGCCGUCCAGAUGAGGGAAAAGUGAGCUCUGUCGGCUGGUCCUCAAACAGAACCACAGGAGGCCUGUAGACCUACGGACAAGAACUGCAUUGGUUGUUGGUUCCAGCAAGGAGAUAAAGACAGACUCCGGGUCCAGGGCCCGGCACACCCAGACAGGCCGGGCUGAUUGGCCUCUGAGAAGCUGAAAGGCAUGAAUAUUCUAUAAGAAGAACAUUUCCUGUUUUCCAAUGUGAUUCUCUAAAUGGGGGAGAUAGAGAACUGUGGUCUUCUGUCUGUCACACAGUCGGUGUGUGUGUGCGCACGAGUGUGUGUGAAUGCUUGUCAUUUUGAAAAAUUUCAAAUUUUAUGUAGCAGUUCCUUUCUCACCAGGGUCCCCUGCUUGUGUGAAACUUUAAUUUUAUAGCUUUGGCUGUUAAUUCAUCAUGGGGACCACCAUCAAUAAAUACUUAUUGAGCUUU